rnacentral:rRNA from 1 species
GAUGAACGCUAGCGGCAGGCUUAACACAUGCAAGUCGAGGGGCAGCGAGGAGUAGCAAUACUCUGUCGGCGACCGGCGAAAGGGUGAGUAACGCGUGAGCAACAUGCCCGUGGGAGGGGGAUAGUCAUUGGAAACGAUGUGUAAUACCCCGUAACAACAGAGACCGCAUGAUCUUUGUUUGAAAGAUUUAUCGUCCACGGAUUGGCUCGCGUACCAUUAGCUAGUUGGCGGGGUAACGGCCCACCAAGGCGACGAUGGUUAGGGGUUCUGAGAGGAAGGUCCCCCACAUUGGAACUGAGACACGGUCCAGACUCCUACGGGAGGCAGCAGUGAGGAAUAUUGGACAAUGGCCGGGAAGCUGAUCCAGCCAUGCCGCGUGCGGGAGGACGCCCUAUGGGUUUGUAAACCGCUUUUGUUGGGGAGCAAUAAGUUCUACGUGUAGGAUGAUGAGAGUACCCAGCGAAUAAGCAUCGGCUAACUCCGUGCCAGCAGCCGCGGUAAUACGGAGGAUGCGAGCGUUAUCCGGAUUUAUUGGGUUUAAAGGGUGCGUAGGCGGGUUUUUAAGCGUGAGGUGAAAGCUCGGGGCUCAACCCCGGAACUGCCUCGCGAACUGGGAGCCUGGAAUGUCCGUGCCGUGGGAGGAAUGUGUGGUGUAGCGGUGAAAAUGCAUAGAGAUCACACAGAAACACCGAUUGCGAAGGCAUUAUCACGAACGGAUGAUUGACGCUGAGGCACGAAAGCGUGGGGAUCAAACA